UACGACCAUAUCACGUCGAAACACAGGUCUUCGUAUGAUCAUCGAAGUUAACUGCAACGCCGAGCUAGGUCAGUACCAAGAUAGGUGACCGCUUGGGAAUACCUGGUGCUGUAAG